rnacentral:tRNA from 1 species
AUUUAUAUAGUUUAUAAAAAUAUUAAAUUGCAAAUUUAAAGAUAUUAAAAUUAAUUAUAAAUU